CUCCCUGAUACCGUGGGAAUUAGGGAGUUAUCUACUAAGCGGCUGCAAAAUGCAGCCACAGCAAUGAAUAGGAUCAGAGUUUCAUUCAUUAGAAUGAAAUUCCGAUCCGAAUAAAAUGCCGAAUUGCGUUCUAAAAGAAACGAACAGACUGUUGUCAUUCAGUUAGAACGCAAUUCGGCAGUUUUGUGUAAAGUGACAGGAAGCAUUGUGGGAACACUGAGGAAAGCUAGGGAUCAUGGGAAAAUUGCUCUGACCAGCGGAAAUGAAGCACACUUUGCUCCUCCGCUGGUCAGAGCUGGUCAAGCGGAGGAAUCCUCCAUAAGGCAAAGAGUCCCUACUUUGUCUUAUGAUUUUAAAGAAAACUAAAGAAGACUGGAAGAAAAGAAUAACAGAUCCUGAGAGAGGGGGAGAAGAGGAAGAGAUUGAGGAAAGGUAAGUUCGGCAUGACAGUGCUGCUUUAA
rnacentral:lncRNA from 1 species